AACGAACGCUGGCGGCAUGCCUAACACAUGCAAGUCGAACGAGACCUUCGGGUCUAGUUGCGCACGGGUGCGUAACGCGUGGGAACCUGCCCUUAGGUUCGGAAUAACUCCCCGAAGGGGGUGCUAAUACCGGAUAAUGUCUUCGGACCAAAGAUUUAUCGCCUUUGGAUGGGCCCGCGUUGGAUUAGCUAGUUGGUAGGGUAAAAGCCUACCAAGGCGACGAUCCAUAGCUGGUCUGAGAGGAUGAUCAGCCACACUGGGACUGAGACACGGCCCAGACUCCUACGGGAGGCAGCAGUGGGGAAUAUUGGACAAUGGGCGAAAGCCUGAUCCAGCAAUGCCGCGUGAGUGAUGAAGGCCUUAGGGUUGUAAAGCUCUUUUACCCGGGAUGAUAAUGACAGUACCGGGAGAAUAAGCGCCGGCUAACUCCGUG
rnacentral:rRNA from 1 species